rnacentral:sRNA from 1 species
AUCAUCCGAAGCGACGCACUCCUCCUCCCAGUGUCGCUCGAUGUGGAUCGGUGGUACUCCUCCUCCCAAUCACCGAUCAAUUUUGAAGCCUGCCGCACCUCCUCCCGCGGAGGUUUUUCCU